AAACUCUGACAACUUGGGACACCCUGGCAACUUGGGACAAACAUGCGCAUUUGCGGAAGUGGAGUACUCCUCACCUUGGUUUUUAGAUCAGCUGUUUCACUGGCAACUGAUUUUACGUUACAACGUAUCAGCUUUUGCAAACCGCGUUAUUUACGUUUAUACUUCGGGUGGUUUAUUGUUAAUUACCUGUUUUUGAUUCUAAUUUAAAUAGCUAAAAAAAAUACGUCAUUACAACUUUGGUUAUAUUUAGAUAACGAUUUGUGGUAUUUGUUGUUUGGGCUUUAGCCACUAUGCCUGGCUCUCAUAAUACAAAAAGGAGAAAGGUAGGAGCAAGGACUUACCGCAACUUUUCCAAUGAACAGUUGGAAAAAGCCAUAGAUGAAGUGAAAAGUGGAAAAUUGUCCAUAAGAAAUGCGUCUGAGAAGUUUUCCAUCCCCAAAUCAACUAUUGCCAGAAAAGUUAAACAGAAAAAUAUGAAUGAUCCCGGCCAUCCAACAGCACUCACUCAAAAAGAUGAAAAUAUAAUUGUAGAAAAAAUAAUACAAGCUGGAAAAUGGGGUUUCCCAUUUUCCCGUUUAGACAUACAACGAAUUGUUAAAUCAGAGAGGCCGUUACAAGUUUGUUGGAAAUUAGAGGAUUUUUUUUGUUUCAUUCGCAAAUAUUAAUCACUUUUAUUUAGAAUAUAUUCUUAUUUUAUUACAAUAAAUUUGUUGUUUUUUC